GACGAACGCUGGCGGCGUGCCUAACACAUGCAAGUCGAGCGGAGACAUGUUGCGGAAGUUUUCGGAUGGAAGCGAUAUGUUUUAGCGGCGGACGGGUGAGUAACGCGUGAGCAACCUUUCCUUCACAGGGGAAUAACGCACCGAAAGGUGCACUAAUACCGCAUGAGACCACAGCUCUGCAUGGAGCAGUGGCUAAAGGAGAAAUUCGCUUCAGGAUGGCCUCGCGUCCAAUUAGGCAGAUGGUGAGGUAACGGCCCACCAUGCCGACGAUUGGUAGCCGGACUGAGAGGUUGAACGGCCACAUUGGGACUGAGACACGGCCCAG
rnacentral:rRNA from 1 species